rnacentral:rRNA from 1 species
UACGUAGGGGGCGAGCGUUAUCCGGAAUUAUUGGGCGUAAAGGGUGCGUAGGCGGCCUUGUAAGUCAGGUGUGAAAGGCUACGGCUCAACCGUAGUUAGCACUUGAAACUGCAGGGCUUGAGUGCAGGAGAGGAGAGUGGAAUUCCUAGUGUAGCGGUGAAAUGCGUAGAUAUUAGGAGGAACACCAGUGGCGAAGGCGACUCUCUGGACUGUAACUGACGCUGAGGCACGAAAGCGUGGGGAGCGAACAGGAUUAGAUACCCUGGUAGUCCACGCCGUAAACGAUGAGUACUAGGUGUUGGGGUCGACAGGCUUCAGUGCCGCAGUUAACACAUUAAGUACUCCGCCUGGGGAGUACGGUCGCAAGACUGAA